AGAGGCGAAGGAGAGGGAGGGAGGGAGAGAGGUUCCUUGCCUCUUUUCUGUCUGUGACCAAAGGGAAGCAAAGGCCCCAUAUAAAACGGGAACAGGAGCUGGCUACGAGUCUUCCCUCUUGAUGGAAGGGAGGUGGAGAGUUUCCUAGCCUGCCGAGAGGCAAUUUGGGAAGUUGGGGACAGUAGUUUUGUUUUGGGGGAGAAAGAGAGAGGAGGGAUUUGGUUGGCUG
rnacentral:lncRNA from 1 species